CCUUGAGGCACCCUUUCUCUAGCAGCCUCUUGGCUUCAUUCUUUACAAUCGAACCAGGCCAGUAGCUGCUCCUGGUGAACAGCUGUAGCAUCGACAGAUUAGAGCGAAAACUCCUCAAACUUCAAUCAUUUCUUUAUUCUUUGUUGUUUUAUUUUUUUUCAAUCAUUUCUUUAUUUCUUUAUUGUUUUUUCUAGGAGGACAGUAAAAGUUGUAACCAUGUUUUAACCUUCUGGAUGGUAUGUUGUAAGGAAUUACCUGCAAAUGCGCUAUUCCGCUAAC
rnacentral:lncRNA from 1 species